GCCAGCAUGGUAUAAUGGUUUGGUGUUUGACUAGGACUCUGGAGACCAGGGUUCAAAUCUCUGCUGAGCCA